rnacentral:lncRNA from 1 species
GGGUCAUCUUGACUUCUUCCCCAAUGGAGGAGAGAGCAUGCCGGGAUGCAAGAAGAAUGCCCUGUCUCAGAUCGUGGAUCUAGAUGGCAUCUGGGCGGGAACCCGGGACUUUGUGGCUUGCAAUCACCUAAGAAGCUACAAGUAUUACUUGGAAAGCAUCCUCAAUCCCGAUGGGUUUGCUGCAUAUCCCUGCACUUCCUACAAGUCCUUUGAGUCUGUAAGCUAUUGUCCUGCCUCGAGCAACAAGCAUCACCCCUCUGAGGGACUGCUGUCCUGCUGCGUUUGGGAUUUGCAAUGCCUUCUCACUACACGUUUUGCAUUGACCCUCAGAGUUCAUGGUCCUGUGGAGUGGAAGAGAAAAAAAAGUAAACAACUUUUGGCAGGAGAUGGCUAAAAUUUUAGAUGACAUGAGUUAUGUGGCAGAGGAAAACUGGGAAAUCAGAGAGAAAGAGCAGUCAAUUCAAUGAUAUAGAGGCUUCCUGCAGGAGGCAACCUCUGAAUCUAGCUUAAAAAUGAUACAGUUUAGAAAACACAGGAAUGCACAUUUCUGGCAAGGGCAGAGCGAGAG